UACGUAGGGGGCGAGCGUUGUCCGGAAUUAUUGGGCGUAAAGCGCGUGCAGGCGGUUUUUUAAGUCCGUGGUGAAAGACCGGGGCUCAACCCCCGGAGUGUCCAUGGAGACUGGAAGACUGGAGUGUCGGAGAGGAGUGCGGAAUACCUGGUGUAGCGGUGAAAUGCGUAGAUAUCGUAAGGAAGACCAGUGGCGAAGGCGGGUCUCUGGACAGUUCCUGACGCUGAGGCACGAAGGCCAGGGGAGGCAAACCGGG
rnacentral:rRNA from 1 species